UCUGGAUUCCCCAACAGAACCAGUGCUUCCUGCUGGAGCUGGAUCCAUCAGCCCCCAGGGAAGGGACUGGAGUGGGUCAGGUGCACAGGUCAUGAAGGGAGCACAAAUUCUAACCCACUCCUCAAGAGUCCAGUCACCACCUCCAGAUCUAUGUCCAAAAACAGCUCUUCGUAUGGCUGAGUGACAUUAGCAACAAGCACACAGCCAUGU